AAAACGCGGGAACAAGCAUCACCAUAGUAAGAGGGAAAUUCCCAAAGCACAUGAAGCAAGCAGGUCAAGCUGCGACACGUGUAUAUACGUGAUAUGCAUGAACGCACGACCACUUUUCUGAAAAAACAUUGUGACGAAUAUUUAGAGGGAAGUCAUUCCUGUAUUCUAGAUUGUCAGCUAGCUGGUUGUAGGCAGUGCACUGUUCGGAGCUGCAGUGGCGAUACACGAAAAUAGCACAGAGUCAUGGCCGCAGUUCCUGGCAAGCGGUUCACCGCCAUUAGGACAGUUACUGAGAGAAAUAAUGGUUGUGAGAAAGAAAACUGUCAAACACAAGCCUCAAAAGGACUAACGAAGGUUUUAUUAGAAAAUAGAGCAUGUGGCCAGUUUUCUGAUUAUGCAAUACUAAUGUUGCAUAUUUCGACUCAAGUCAGUGAUGAGGAAUAUUCCCAGAUGAAACUGGUCUUGUCAGUCGAUGAAGUAAUCAAGACUAAAAAAUGUUGUGAAAUAAGAAACACGGCUGAUCUUCUUGGACAUUUGCAUGGUCUGAAAAAAAUAUCAAGAAGCAACACGUCUCUGUUAAGAGAGUUAAUGCAAAGGAUCGGGAGAGAAGACCUGAAAUGUAAUGUGGACAAGUAUAUUGACAAUCAGGCAAAUUAUGCAGUGUGUGAGUGUGUUGAUCCUCCUUUACUAAACUACGAAGGUGUCCAGGAAGAAGGCGAAGGAGAAACAGAGGAAGAUCUUCCUGAGUCACAAGAGAGCACGGCGACCAUGGAGAGUUUGUCUGAUGACGAAAAGACGCUACGCCUCCUCAAUGGUGAGGAUGUCUGCAUGGCAAGUGUAGACUAAGAAGAGGUGCAUAUCCUUUCUUCUUUGAAGAUAUGAUCACUACAUCUAAGCUGGUCUCAAAUCAGCAUAUUUCUGGACAGAUACACCUCAUGUAGGGGCGUAACAAAUCAUCAAAGGUGACUAGCUUCUGAAGUUAUCUAAUAUCUAUGCAAAACAGUCAUGGAUAAUUUGUUUGUGUUACUGAAAACAGUGAGAGUCAUGAUUGCUCUGAGCCCUGUGAAACAUCUGUUACUGACUGCCAGUGUCUCUUGCCAUAGACUUGUUAUGUCUUCCUAGUUAUUCCAUGACAAAAUGUGAUUGUUGUGGUUGGUGCAUGUUUUAUAAAGAAGAUAUAUUUUGUACUUUUGAAAAUUUGUUGAAGCAAUAGGUAUUGCAUUACACAUUGAUUAUCAACUUGCCUCAUGGUUCAAUAUAGUGCAUUGUUUAAGGAUAUCCCCUCCUAGUCCAUGUGACUGAAAGUGGGUCAACUGAUGACUUACAACAGGGCAGGAUUCAGAUGGACAAUUUUUCAAUAGAACACAACAUACUUGGUGGUGUUAUGUGAUUAUAGAUCGUUUAAGAGAAUUGUGUUAAAAGUCAAUUGACUUUUGUGCUUGAAAGUCUGUUUUCUUCCCACUUUUGUCUAUAUUGACUUUAUCGGUAAGUGACAUGUUAAAUAUGUUGGCUUUCCAAUUUAGUAUGUUAAUUGCUAUGUUUUUUGUAUUUUAAGAAAUUGCUUCUAAAUUUACUUUUGAUUGCCAAACCUUUAACCAUACAUAUUAAAAGAAAUCAUUCCUAAAGUAUAUUUAUAUUUGCCAGAGGUCUUUGCAAAAAUACUCUCAAGAAGUCAUUCCUGAAAUGUAUUCUUUUUGCCAAACAUUACAAUGAUUUUCAAAGAAAUCAUUCCUGAAAAAGUAUUAUUGUUUGCCAAACUGUGUUGCAUUUGUAUUAUUUGAUAUUACCUUUUGUCACAUGUGCAAUCAAUGUUCUGUAAUAUUGGCAUGUUGUAUAAAUGUCUUUCCAAAAUAUGUCGGCUGACAUAUAUGUAUGAAUACCAAGCUGUGUCUACACAGGUCAUAAUGAGUAGGAAACGUUUCAAGAUACAGAUUCAAGGUGUGGUUCUGUAUAGUGAAUGUACCAAAGUGACUGCUUGUCAUAAUAAUAAACAUCCUGGGAAAACAUAGUAAAUCUGACCAUUUAAGAGCAUGGAUUGAAUCUGUGGAGCCCCUUCUCAAACCUUGUGUUGUUGUCACGUAGUUUCAUGAAGUGACAACAGGAAUGACCAAUCUUUUAUAUUACCUUUUGUGUUCAUCUGUGUUCAUGAUUAUUUCCAAUUUUCAAUACUGCCCAUAAGUUUGGAAACACAAUCAGUUCUCAGGCAAACCCAUAUCAGUAGACAUAAUAGAACUGCUAGCUUCAGACUUUUUGUUUAGUCUGAAUAUGAUAUCGAUGCCAUUUUCACCUAAGCAAGAAUGGUAGCUGGUCCCUUUUUAAAAAGAUCCCCUUGGAAUUCCAGGGAAGGGUAGGUCCCCAUUUACCAUUGCUUAUCUAAUUGCCUUGACUGCCUGUAAAUGUACCCUGCUCACCCAUAUCAGCCUGACCCAGUCUUGAUUAUUGCAGACCUCCAUCAUGUAACUGGAUUUUUGCUGAAUGCAACAUUUCAAUCAUCAAAAACUUCUUGCCUGAGAACCAGUUGUCUAUGUUUCCAUCUUAUUUAGUCAUUAUACUGUAAAAACCACUUGCUAUGUCCUGAGGUGCUAUUCCAGUUUUAAGGUUGGGGUAUUUUUUUACCAGAUAAAAGUAACAUAUCUACCAUUUUGUUUUUGUACAUGUGUUGAACUUGAAGUACCUUUCUCCUGGCUUGUCAAAAUAUGCUUGAACCUUGAUGAAAAUGCUUAUCUAAUCAAGAAACUUUUGUUAGCAUCAAAUGCAUCAUAUUCCAUUUCUGUGAGAUAUUGUUUUGUGCCAGUUGAGUUCUGUGAUGUUGAUGUGUAUUAUUUGUGUCUUCAGAAUGUUGCUAUGUUGCUAUGGUUACUUUGUGUGCGUGUUAUGGUUAUGUAGUGAAAGUAGUGAAAAGAAUGUCCCUGUGAAUCAGAAAAAUAUAUGCAUAAAAUGCCCUUAGAUUAUAGAUAUAUUGGAGGAUUAACAUUCGAGGAUAAAAAAUUAUUAUUCCUUAAAAUAUAAUUCUUACUGAUGUGAUACUAUCUAAAUAAAAUUAUAUAUUUUGUUUAAAAUACAGUUGUUUUGUUUCUGAUUUAAGAAUUGUGAUUAAGGUUAUGCAUGCAUGGAUGCUGUUUAUGUUGCUGCUUUUUCAAGUGUUCAAUAAAAAGAUACUUGCUGAAGAU
rnacentral:lncRNA from 1 species